AUGUCUUGCAGUGUCUGCGACAAGAGGGGAGGACUGCUUUGCAAUCUCAACGUACCCUGUUCAUCAGAGACAACAUCUCCGUGGGCGCCUCCGUGCGCUCUUUGGGCAGCUCGGAGCCAUGCUGUCAGAGCUCUUCACCAACUAGACCAUCUACACCAACAAGGCAGCGGUGCUGGUGACGCUGCUGUUCGUGAUCGCGGUCAACCUGGCGAUCGGCAUCCUGCCGCACAUGAUGCGCCCGACGCCAUGGAGUACCUCACGGCGUGCUCGCCUCCCCCAGCAUCCCGAUCUCAACGAGCCUAG
rnacentral:rRNA from 1 species